AAUGCAAAGAUUAGCAAAAGGCUAAAGAUCAACGACCUCGUUGGUACGCCACCAAGAAUUUUUCUUUCAGAUCUAGAUCGCUUGGUUGUUUGUUGGGGAGAGUAUUCCGCUUUCCAAAGAUGGCUUUCAUUCGGAUCGCUCUCCUGGCCUUGCCUUGUGCCUUUCCAGCUGACAGUGUUGGUUGCAUCGUUGACAUGCAUCUGAUCAGCUGCAAGGCCAACUAGUAUAUCAUCCCGUGACGACCACAUUAAAGCGUGAACUUGAAGAGUGAAGAGGCUUCAGCAACCACAUCGUACUUUCCCAUUUCUUUUAUUGUGCUUCUGUUGUACAUGUGGUUGCGCUUGUAGCUCUGUGUUGUACAUGCGGCUGCGCGUGUUGCUCUUUGUCGUACAUGUGGCUGCGCUUGUGUCUCUUUGUCGUACACGUGACUGCGCUGGUGUCUCUUUGUCGUACGUGUGGCUGCGUUUGUGUCUCUGUGUCGUACAUGCUGCUGACCCGUGGUGCACUGUCUUGGAAUGCUUUGUACAUGCCGCUGUACCAUCUUCUGUCCCCUUCGUAUGCAUUAUUUCUCAUCUCGUCCCCGUCGAAUACGCAUUUUCUCGUCUUGUCUCCGUUGUAUUUGUCUGGUUGCCGUCUUUUGUCCGUCGUAUUUCCUCGUCUGCCGUCUUUGUCUCUUGUCCCGUUCGGGACUUGUUGUACUAUUCACAUGCACCUCUUACGUCUCCCUCGCCCCACUUUUUCCCCACUUUUUCCACGUCCCCACAAUACUAUUCUCUUGUCCUGUCUGGUGGGAGCUCAGUUCUCCAGUCGCCUCUUGAAGUGAAGUACAAGAAAAGCUCUCUCUCAGUUUGA